rnacentral:rRNA from 1 species
AGUAUUUUGACUAUACAAAGGUAUUGUAAUAAGAUUUUAAUUGAAUGCUAAAAGAAUGGAAGUUUAGAAAAAGUCUUUUUAAAAAAUAAAAAUUAAAAUUUUUUUAAUUUGUGCAGAAACAAUUAUUUAUAUUAAAGACAAGAAGACCCUAAGAAUUUUCUGGCUCAAUAAUUUAUAUAUUUAAUUUAUUAAACCUUGGUUGGGGCGAUCAAAAAAUAUUAAUAACUUUUUUUCAUUAAAAUGAUCUAUUAUUAAUAAAUUAAUGAAUUAAAUACUCUAGGGAUAACAGCGUAAUAAUUUUUGAUAGAUCUUAUAGACAAAAUAGUUUGCGACCUCGAUGUUGGAUUAGGAUUCUUUUUUGGUGAAGAAACCAAAAAAAGAAGUUUGUUCAACUUUUAAACUCCU